UCCGUAGGGUGAACCUGCGGAGGGAUCAUUACUGAGUUUACGCUCUACAACCCUUUGUGAACAUACCUAUAACUGUUGCUUCGGCGGGCAGGGUCUCCGUGACCCUCCCGGCCUCCCGCCCCCGGGCGGGUCGGCGCCCGCCGGAGGAUAACCAAACUCUGAUUUAACGACGUUUCUUCUGAGUGGUACAAGCAAAUAAUCAAAACUUUUAACAACGGAUCUCUUGGUUCUGGCAUCGAUGAAGAACGCAGCGAAAUGCGAUAAGUAAUGUGAAUUGCAGAAUUCAGUGAAUCAUCGAAUCUUUGAACGCACAUUGCGCCCGCCAGCAUUCUGGCGGGCAUGCCUGUUCGAGCGUCAUUUCAACCCUCAAGCUCUGCUUGGUGUUGGGGCCCUACGGCUGACGUAGGCCCUCAAAGGUAGUGGCGGACCCUCCCGGAGCCUCCUUUGCGUAGUAACUUUACGUCUCGCACUGGGAUCCGGAGGGACUCUUGCCGUAAAACCCCCAAUUUUCCAAAGGUUGACCUCGGAUCAGGUAGGAAUACCCGCUGAACUUAAGCAUAUCAAUAAGCGGAGGAA
rnacentral:rRNA from 1 species